GACUCUCGGCAACGGAUAUCUCGGCUCUCGCAUCGAUGAAGAACGUAGCGAAAUGCGAUACUUGGUGUGAAUUGCAGAAUCCCGUGAACCAUCGAGUCUUUGAACGCAAGUUGCGCCCGAAGCCAUUAGGUUGAGGGCACGUCUGCCUGGGCGUCACGCAUC
rnacentral:rRNA from 20 species